AUUGAACGCUGGCGGCAGGCCUAACACAUGCGAGUCGAACGGUAACAGGAAGACGCUUGCUUCUUUGCUGACGAGUGGCGGACGGGUGAGUAAUGUCUGGGAAACUGCCUGAUGGAGGGGGAUAACUACUGGAAACGGUAGCUAAUACCGCAUAACGUCGCAAGACCAAAAAGGGGGACCUUCGGGCCUCUUGCCAUCGGAUGUGCCCAGAUGGGAUUAGCUAGUAGGUGGGGUAACGGCUCACCUAGGCGACGAUCCCUAGCUGGUCUGAGAGGAUGACCAGCCACACUGGAACUGAGACACGGUCCAGACUCCUACGGGAGGCAGCAGUGGGGAAUAUUGCACAAUGGGCGCAAGCCUGAUGCAGCCAUGCCGCGUGUAUGAAGAAGGCCUUCGGGUUGUAAAGUACUUUCAGCGGGGAGGAAGGGAGUAAAGUUAAUACCUUUGCUCAUUGACGUUACCCGCAGAAGAAGCACCGGCUAACUCCGUG
rnacentral:rRNA from 1 species